rnacentral:rRNA from 1 species
AAAUCUCCGGUGCCUGCACCGGCGAAUUGUAGUCUGUAGGGCCAGUUUCGCCCGACGCGGUGUCCCCAAAGUCGUCCUGGAAAGGCGGGCCGGAGAGGGUGAGAGCCCCGUGUGCGGGGGCGCCGCGGAAGGUAAGAUCUGUGCCCGAAGAGUCGGGUUGUUUGGGAUUGCAGCCCAAAACGGGUGGUAAACUCCAUCUAAAGCUAAAUACCGGCACGAGACCGAUAGCGAACAAGUACCGUGAGGGAAAGAUGAAAAGCACUUUGAAAAGAGAGUCAAACAGUACGUGAAACCGUCGGGAGGGAAACGAACGAGGUUGGUGCAGUGAUUGCGCAGGCUCAGGCUCGGCCGAAGGUGCCGUCGCGGUGACCAGAGCGUCCCGUGGCGUCCGCCGGAGGCAGAGCCGUACUCCUCGCGAGCACGGACCAGCGGCGGUCGGAGCGGGGCCACAAGGCCGCGGGUACGGUACGUCGGGUCGGGCUUCGGCUCGCCCGACGACUUAUAGACCAGCGAUCCGGCGUCCCGCUUUGACCGAGGAAGGAGGGCAGCUCUUGCCCGGUGUGGUGCACGCCGUACGGCGGGGCCUCCCGUCGAGGGCGAGUCGCGCUGCGUGGACUGCGUGCAGUGCUCACGGUUGCGGCGGACCCACGGUCGGAGAGCGUCACUUGUGCACCAGUGCCGCUGGUAUUGGGACGGCCUCGUCCGACCCGUCUUGAAACACGGACCAAGGAGUGCAACAUGUGCGCGAGCCCUUUGGCGAGCAAACCAGAAGGCGCAAUGAAAGUGAAGGCACGGUCGCCGUGCUAAGGUGAGAGCCGUCCCCGGCGGGACGGCGCAUCAUCGACCGAUCCCAUCCGUGCCGUUCGCGGCGUGGCGGGAUUCGAGUGAGAGUGUACCUGUUGCGACCCGAAAGAUGGUGAACUAUGCCUGAAUAGGGUGAAGCCAGAGGAAACUCUGGUGGAGGCCCGUAGCGAUUCUGACGUGCAAAUCGAUCGUCAAAUUUGGGUAUAGGGGCGAAAGACUAAUC